UGUAUGCCUUUAUGAAUGAAAGAAAAAUUCAUUGUUCGGUUGAAGCAAAUAUGAUUGUGCAUGAAUCAACUUGACUUUUGAAUGACUUUUUAGCAGAAUCUAAAUUGACUUAUGAAUGAAUCAAACACUUUUACUCUACGGAAUCAUAAGUACCAUGGGCACAUGAUAACACAUGAACUGAAUGGACCAAGGUACAUGGAUGCGCCAAGAAUA
rnacentral:lncRNA from 1 species